GGUAGAUAAAGAGCUUCCCAGAUAAGGUCAAUUUAAAAGACUUCAUUACCACCAAGCCCUGAUUAUAUGUAAUUUUCAAGGGAUUUAUCUAAGAAAAAGAAGA